AGAGCUCUGGAGCCAAACUGCUGGUGUUUGCAUCCUCCUGGCUGUGGGAUUUGGGAAACACCCUGCCAUGAGAUCAACUCAGCAGACCAAGGGAAGGCUGGAGAUCGUGGUGGCCAAGGGAUGUUCAGACACACCUACCUACAGCACAAUCAGCCCCUUUAUUGUACGGAAGAAGAGGCAGCAAACCAGCCAGAAGAAAGCCACUUUGUUUAACAUUCCAAAGGCGUUCCCAGUGUCUCCCAGAGUCCUCAUUAAUUACCUGGAGAAUUACCAAUGCGUUCUGGGAUCCCAUGAGAGACUCCUUCCACUGCAAUUCGCCAACCCUUGUGACACUGGGAUGAUGAAAUAGGCGCACUUGAUGAGGAGAGAAGAGGAAACGGAGUCCGGGCACAGAGUCAGAAGGCCUUGGCUUGGGAGAUUUCUGAAUCACGGACACGGCCUGCCCUCUCACAAGUAGAGGCAAAAGAUGUCAGGGUUGUUGGCAGAUGCGGGCACGGAGCUUUGGGGUGGCAAUAAUAACGAUUUUCAGGGCACGGGCAGUUAGGCGAGGGAGGGCUGUUAGGUGAGUGGAGGAGUGAGGGUCCUGGACCAGGCAGGGCCGAGCACGGGCCAGGGAAGGAGGACUGUGAGUACCGGCUGUUUCUUUAGAUUUGGAACCAGAAAGUGCUGGCAUUAAAGCUAGAACAACAGAAUCACAGGAAAGGAUCUUAGAGGUUACAUAAUGCUGGCAUUUUAAAACCAGGUUCCCUGGCGUUCUAAAGAUUCUAUGUGAAGGCGUUUCGGGGACUGCUGUUCAGUGUUUGGUAAAAGGGGAUGGGGGGCUGGUCCUUCAUCCCCAUUUUAACAUCAGUUUGUAUCUAUUUUAGACAUUGGGAUUCUGAAUAUGAUUUAUUUCUGGAAAGGCUUUUGUACUUAAAAAUUACUGUUCCUUUCCAACCUCUUCAUUUGACAGCUCAGAAAAGGAAGCUGACUUUGUAGAGACGUACAGCCAGCAUGUGACAUCACACUGUGAUGUUCACCCCCCUGGGUGUGGUGGCAUCAUGGUACUAUAGAUCAAACAGGCCCGGAAACGCCAGGCUACAUUCUUUUCCCUCAGAGUGGCCCAUUUAUUUUGCUCCUAUUCUCCAGUUCUAACCCCACCAAAACCCAAACCAGUGCUCAGAUUUAUAAUAUUCCAUGUACACCAUGGUCUGGAAAGAGGACUGGCCCAAAAGUGUGGUGAACAAGGUUGCCUGUGUGGUGUGACGUGUGUAGGCCUCAGCCAACCCCCAAUAACUUCCCAUCUAACUAGAAUUCCCACCACCGGUUAGGCCAGCAGUUUUCAAGUAAACUCAGGUGCCAGUGUGCCUGUGGAACACCACGAAUUGUUGACUGACUGAAUUCCAUCCUACAAAUGAGCAGCGACUUUACCAGCAGGAAAGCUAGCUGUGUUAGAAGCACACAGUACAACAUCGUGGUCACACACGCUGCGUGAGUCAUUAAGACUGGUCCCACAUGUUCUGGUUCUCCGUCUAGGCACACAGUGGGCUUGUACUUCUCCAUUGCCUUUCACAGCCAUGGCCAUAUGACAUGUUUUGGCCGAAUAAAUGUGCGUGGAAGCUUUUGAAGUCAGUGGGUGAUUCUCGUCAUUCUCUUCCCCGUGGUGCAGUCUCUGCCGAAGUCCACUUUGAGACGGAGCCUCUGUUUGCCAGAGUCCUGGGGUUGCUACGAUGAGGAGAGCUCUCCAACCUACAUCAAACAUGGUGUGAACAAGAAAUACAUCUUUGUUUGUUAAACCAUUAGGAUUUUGGAGUUUUGUUACCAUAGCAAAACCUAGCUUAUCCUAACUGAUAUAGCCACUUAUCAAAAAUAAACCAAUUAACUGUGAAAUGGAA
rnacentral:lncRNA from 1 species